rnacentral:sRNA from 1 species
AGCCAGCGCACCUGCGGUCUUUCUCCUCCCAGUGCCGCGCGUUGGCUGUUCCCCUCUGGAGGUUUCAUACCUUCACACCUGCAGGGCCCGAGCUUCGCUUGUGGCCCUCUUUU